UACGGGGGGGGCAAGCGUUGUUCGGAAUUACUGGGCGUAAAGGGCUCGUAGGUGGCCAACUAAGUCAGACGUGAAAUCCCUCGGCUUAACCGGGGAACUGCGUCUGAUACUGGAUGGCUUGAGUUCGGGAGAGGGAUGCGGAAUUCCAGGUGUAGCGGUGAAAUGCGUAGAUAUCUGGAGGAACACCGGUGGCGAAGGCGGCAUCCUGGACCGAUACUGACACUGAGGCACGAAAGCUAGGGUAGCGAACGGG
rnacentral:rRNA from 1 species